UGGAGCUAGAUGCCACUAGCUGUGGAGUCGGAUGAUCUCUUAGACAGCUGUUCUCACGCGAUGGACAAACAACACCAACUGUUUCAAUAAUUCCAUGCAGCUAUAAAGUCAGACAAUGUAUCACACAAGUCACAGGUCAUCUAACAGCCUUUCGUUCAAGACGCGUUUUGCCUUAUCCUCUUGCCGCUUAAGCCUUCACGACUACCACCAAGAUGAAAUCUUUCCGUCUUGUCCUACUUCUCUCAGCAACCUUUGCCUGCUCCAGUGUUGAAGGUGAACAGGCGUGUACAACGGCCAUCAAAAACAACUUGAACUACACAGCCCUGAAUUCUGCCUUCCAUGCCUGCGCGUUGGAUCCAGCGGGACGCGCCGCCUUGAUUAAAAACUCAGGUAAACUAUGCGCGCACUACGAUUACUUUACCGGCGAUAUCACUUGCGAAAUUCAGGCAGCUCCCUUCAUGAAAUGUGCAGCGAAAAAACUUGGUUACUUGGAUAGCGAUGGCUCCAUCAACAGCGAAAAGAUCUUAGCGGAGUACAAGACUUACGCCAAAAGCGACAAGAAGUGCAACGUUGAUCAAUACAACUUCGGUGUGGAUACAUGUGGCACUACCAUCAAAAACUACGCGUUCCUGGCGAAGGCCGCAUGCAUCUUCAGGAAGAUGGACUAGUACCCGUGGUGACCUGCGCAAUCUUGUACUCAUACCUUCAACUGAUUGGCGGCUUUGAAGUGUUCACAGCAGGUUGGAAAAGUUUCUGAACACUUCAACAAUGGAACUUUUACACAGCUCGGGAGAAAUAAUUUACAAUACAUUAUG
rnacentral:misc_RNA from 1 species